ACGGAGGAAGAUUUAACGAGUGUUGGGUUGACUGAACAUCGGAGAGAUAAAUCGAAAUCGGAGAGCAUAAUGUGACCGUCGUCUCGUACCAGAACGUUCUCUGGCUUCAAAUCACGGUAUACUAUUCCGAGCAUGUGUAAGUAUUCUAAUGCUAAUAACACUUCCGAUGCAAAGAACCUGUUAACCAACAAAACCAAACAUUUAGUUCAUGUUAUGAAUCAAUACCAGAAAAGGAUCUUAAUUACUCUGUUUUUGCUCUGUUUCAAUAAACUCUGUUUAUAUACUAAACUAACCUUGCAGCAUCUUCUGUAAAACACUUGUUGGGUUGCUUCUGUCUCAAGGAAUAAAGAUUGCCUCCGCUACAAAACUCCAUAACCAAGCAAUAGAACUUAUCAGUCUCGAAGUGAGAGUAAAGAGUAGGCA
rnacentral:lncRNA from 1 species